rnacentral:rRNA from 1 species
AGCUCCAAUAGCGUAUAUUAAAGUUGUUGCAGUUAAAAAGCUCGUAGUUGGAUUUCUGGUUGAAACGACCGGUCUGCUCUUCGGAGUACGUACUUGUGUUGUUUUGGCCAUUUUUUGUGAGGAUCUCUUUCUGCCAUUAAGUUGGUGGGUUGAUGGACUUGCAUCGUUUACUGUGAAAAAAUUAGAGUGUUUAAAGCAGGCGUUUGCCUAUUUUUGAAUACAUUAGCAUGGAAUAAUAAGAUACGACCUUGGUGGUCUAUUUUGUUGGUUUGCACACCAGGGUAAUGAUUAAUAGGGACAGUUGGGGGUAUUCAUAUUUCAGCGUCAGAGGUGAAAUUCUUGGAUCGCUGAAAGAUGAGCUUAGGCGAAAGCAUUUACCAAGGAUGUUUUCAUUA